rnacentral:lncRNA from 1 species
AUAGUAGAGCAAUUGGGAUUAGCAAUGAGCGCUCCUUUUCCAGAACCUAGCUUCACAUGCGCCAUUGCUUCAGGAUUCACUUCGGGUAUCACGAGAGGCACGUUCUCAUCCAUUCGAAACGCCGAGCUAUUAUCCACCACUAUAGUCCCCUUUUGAGCCGCUAACGGUCCAAAUUUCUUACUAAUAGAACCGCCAGCACUGAACAAUGCUAUAUCUAUCCCUUCAAAACUAUCCUCCGUGAGCUCUUCAACUGUAUAUAAUCUGUCUUCGAAUUUCAUUGAUUUACCAGCUGAUCUUUUGCUUGCGAGGAGUUUGAGUGAACGGUAAGGGAAUUCACGGUCGGAGAGAACGGAGAGAAACUCUUGACCGACCGCGCCGGUGACGCCGACGACGGCGACGGAUGGGCCGUUCUCUUGGAGAGACAUGCGGACGCGGAAAGGGGAGGUGGAGGUGGCGAUGGAGCGCGGUCGUGGAAUGGCGGUGGCGCCGCCGUGGAGGAAAUGGUUGUGGCGGACAGAAAGUGCUGGAGUGUUCAUUUUUGCGGGAAGCGGCGGUGGACUCAAGGGCGGCUCAAGGUUAAGGCAAGUUAUGCCCUUGCCUUAGGCGCCCAAAUAUUUAAGGCCCC